GUUAAACAAAAAAAAAAGUGUACUAUAAACUUCUCUCUAGACGUUAAUUACUCGGUGUGUAUUGUGUACAAAAUACGAACUUGUGGACUAAUUUAGCUAGAUAAAAAUUUGUGUUGUGUGUAAAGCUUCGUUUUUAUGUUUAAUUACGUAAAACAUUUAAGAUGGCUUUUAUGUAUUAUUUUAUUUUUAAAUAAUUCAUCCAAUAAAGAAUUUGAUAUAUUGAAUAUCGUGGUACCGGAUGUAAAUAGCCUGAAUCAUUGUUAAAAAGAACUAAGUAUUGUAAAUUAUUACAAACGAUAGUUA